rnacentral:rRNA from 1 species
GAUGAACGCUGGCGGUAUGCUUAACACAUGCAAGUCGAACGGUGUCUUCGGACACAGUGGCGGACGGGUGAGUAACGCGUGAGAAUCUGGCUUCAGGUCUGGGACAACCACUGGAAACGGUGGCUAAUACCGGAUGUGCCCUUAGGGGUGAAAGAUUAAUUGCCUGAAGAUGAGCUCGCGUCUGAUUAGCUAGUAGGUGUGGUAAAGGCGCACCUAGGCGACGAUCAGUAGCUGGUCUGAGAGGACGAUCAGCCACACUGGGACUGAGACACGGCCCAGACUCCUACGGGAGGCAGCAGUGGGGAAUUUUCCGCAAUGGGCGAAAGCCUGACGGAGCAAUACCGCGUGAGGGAGGAAGGCUCUUGGGUCGUAAACCUCUUUUCUCAGGGAAGAACACAAUGACGGUACCUGAGGAAUAAGCAUCGGCUAACUCCGUGCCAGCAGCCGCGGUAAUACGGAGGAUGCAAGCGUUAUCCGGAAUGAUUGGGCGUAAAGCGUCCGCAGGUGGCUAUGUAAGUCUGCUGUUAAAGAGUCUAGCUCAACUAGAUAAAAGCAGUGGAAACUACAAGGCUAGAGUACGUUCGGGGCAGAGGGAAUUCCUGGUGUAGCGGUGAAAUGCGUAGAGAUCAGGAAGAACACCGGUGGCGAAGGCGCUCUGCUAGGCCGUAACUGACACUGAGGGACGAAAGCUAGGGGAGCGAAUGGGAUUAGAUACCCCAGUAGUCCUAGCCGUAAACGAUGGAUACUAGGCGUGGCUUGUAUCGACCCGAGCCGUGCCGUAGCUAACGCGUUAAGUAUCCCGCCUGGGGAGUACGCCGGCAACGGUGAAACUCAAAGGAAUUGACGGGGGCCCGCACAAGCGGUGGAGUAUGUGGUUUAAUUCGAUGCAACGCGAAGAACCUUACCAAGGCUUGACAUGUCGCGAAUCUUCUUGAAAGGGAAGAGUGCCUUCGGGAGCGCGAACACAGGUGGUGCAUGGCGUCGUCAGCUCGUGUCGUGAGAUGUUGGGUUAAGUCCCGCAACGAGCGCAACCCUCGUUUUUAGUUGCCAGCAUUAAGUUGGGCACUCUAGAGAGACUGCCGGUGACAAACCGGAGGAAGGUGGGGAUGACGUCAAGUCAGCAUGCCCCUUACGCCUUGGGCUACACACGUACUACAAUGCUCCGGACAGAGGGCAGCAAGCAUGCGAAUGCAAGCAAAUCCCGUAAACCGGAGCUCAGUUCAGAUCGCAGGCUGCAACUCGCCUGCGUGAAGGAGGAAUCGCUAGUAAUUGCAGGUCAGCAUACUGCAGUGAAUUCGUUCCCGGGCCUUGUACACACCGCCCGUCACACCAUGGAAGCUGGUAGUGCCCGAAGUCAUUACUCCAACCUUUCGGGGAGGAGGAUGCCUAAGGCAGGACUGGUGACUGGGGUGAAGUCGUAACAAGGUAGCCGUACCGGAAGGUGUGGCUGGAUCACCUCCUUU